rnacentral:rRNA from 1 species
UACGUAGGUGGCAAGCGUUGUCCGGAUUUAUUGGGUUUAAAGGGUACGUAGGCGGCCCUGUAAGUCAGUGCUGAAAUAUCCCGGCUUAACCGGGAGGGUGGCAUUGAUACUGCGGGGCUAGAGUACAGAUGAGGUAGGCGGAAUUGACGGUGUAGCGGUGAAAUGCUUAGAUAUCGUCAAGAACACCUAUAGCGAAGGCAGCUUACUAGGCUGUAACUGACGCUGAGGCACGAAAGUGUGGGGAUCAAACAGG